GUGUCAGCAGCCGCGGUAAUACGUAGGGGGCAAGCGUUGUCCGGAAUCAUUGGGCGUAAAGAGCGCGUAGGCGGCCCAGUAAGUCCGCUCUGAAAGUCAGGGGCUCAACCCCUGGAUGCGGGUGGAUACUGCUGGGCUAGAGUCCGGAAGAGGCGAGUGGAAUUCCUGGUGUAGCGGUGAAAUGCGCAGAUAUCAGGAGGAACACCGAUGGCGAAGGCAGCUCGCUGGGACGGUACUGACGCUGAGGCGCGAAAGCGUGGGGAGCAAACAGGAUUAGAAACCCCUGUAGUCC
rnacentral:rRNA from 1 species